AGUGAACGCUGGCGGUAGGCCUAACACAUGCAAGUCGAACGGCAGCACAGUAAGAGCUUGCUCUUACGGGUGGCGAGUGGCGGACGGGUGAGGAAUACAUCGGAAUCUACUUUUUCGUGGGGGAUAACGUAGGGAAACUUACGCUAAUACCGCAUACGACCUACGGGUGAAAGCAGGGGAUCUUCGGACCUUGCGCGAUUGAAUGAGCCGAUGUCGGAUUAGCUAGUUGGCGGGGUAAAGGCCCACCAAGGCGACGAUCCGUAGCUGGUCUGAGAGGAUGAGCGGCCACACUGGAACAGAGACACGGUCCAGACUCCUACGGGAGGCAGCAGUAGGGAAUCUUCCGCAAUGGGCGAAAGCCUGACGGAGCAUCGCCGCGUGAGUGAUGAAGGUCUUCGGAUCGUAAAACUCUGUUAUUAGGGAAGAACAAAUGUGUAAGUAACUAUGCACGUCUUGACGGUACCUAAUCAGAAAGCCACGGCUAACUACGUG
rnacentral:rRNA from 1 species